rnacentral:rRNA from 1 species
AACGAACGCUGGCGGCGUGUUUAAGACAUGCAAGUCGCACGGGAUCAUUUUGGUAGCAAUACUCGGAUGGUCCAGUGGCGCACGGGUGAGUAACACGUGAAUGACAUGCCCUAUAGUGGGGGAUAGCCCAGGGAAACUUGGAUUAAUACCCCAUGGUAUCGCGAGAUUAAAGGUGGCCGCAAGGCUGUCGCUAUAGGAUUGGUUCGCGUUCUAUCAGCUUGUUGGCGGGGUAACGGCCCACCAAGGCUACGACGGAUACCUGGUCUGAGAGGACGAUCAGGCACACUGGAACUGAGACACGGUCCAGACACCUACGGGUGGCUG